rnacentral:rRNA from 1 species
UACGUAGGGGGCAAGCGUUGUCCGGAAUCAUUGGGCGUAAAGAGCGCGUAGGCGGUCCGGUAAGUCCGCUGUGAAAGUCAAGGGCUCAACCCUUGAAUGCCGGUGGAUACUGUCGGGCUAGAGUCCGGAAGAGGCGAGUGGAAUUCCUGGUGUAGCGGUGAAAUGCGCAGAUAUCAGGAGGAACACCGGUGGCGAAGGCGGCGUCCUGGACCAACACUGACACUGAAAAGCGAAAGCCAGGGGAGCAAACGGG